rnacentral:rRNA from 1 species
AGAGUUUGAUCAUGGCUCAGAUUGAACGCUGGCGGCAUGCCUUACACAUGCAAGUCGAACGGUAACAGGUCUUCGGAUGCUGACGAGUGGCGAACGGGUGAGUAAUACAUCGGAACGUGCCCGAUCGUGGGGGAUAACGAGGCGAAAGCUUUGCUAAUACCGCAUACGAUCUACGGAUGAAAGCGGGGGAUCUUCGGACCUCGCGCGGACGGAGCGGCCGAUGGCAGAUUAGGUAGUUGGUGGGAUAAAAGCUUACCAAGCCGACGAUCUGUAGCUGGUCUGAGAGGAUGAUCAGCCACACUGGGACUGAGACACGGCCCAGACUCCUACGGGAGGCAGCAGUGGGGAAUUUUGGACAAUGGGCGAAAGCCUGAUCCAGCCAUGCCGCGUGCAGGAUGAAGGCCUUCGGGUUGUAAACUGCUUUUGUACGGAACGAAAAGCCUCUUUCUAAUAAAGAGGGGUCAUGACGGUACCGUAAGAAUAAGCACCGGCUAACUACGUGCCAGCAGCCGCGGUAAUACGUAGGGUGCAAGCGUUAAUCGGAAUUACUGGGCGUAAAGCGUGCGCAGGCGGUUUUGUAAGACAGAGGUGAAAUCCCCGGGCUCAACCUGGGAACUGCCUUUGUGACUGCAAGGCUGGAGUGCGGCAGAGGGGGAUGGAAUUCCGCGUGUAGCAGUGAAAUGCGUAGAUAUGCGGAGGACACCGAUGGCGAAGGCAAUCCCCUGGGCCUGCACUGACGCUCAUGCACGAAAGCGUGGGGA